UAGGGAAUUUUGCGCAAUGGGGGAAACCCUGACGCAGCAACACCGCGUGAAUGUUAAGCCCUUCGGGGUGUAAAGUUCUGUCAGUGGGGACGAAUAAUGACGGUACCCACAAAGGAAGCACCGGCUAACUCCGUGCCAGCAGCCGCGGUAAUACGGGGGGUGCAAGCGUUGUCCGGAAUCAUUGGGCGUAAAGCGUUCGUAGGCGGUAUGUCAAGUCUGAUGUUAAAGCCCGGGGCUCAACUCCGGUUCAGCAUUGGAUACUGGCAAACUAGAAUGUGGUAGAGGCAAGGGGAAUUCCUGGUGUAGCGGUGAAAUGCGUAGAUAUCAGGAGGAACAUCGGUGGCGAAAGCGCCUUGCUGGGCCAUUAUUGACGCUGAGGAACGAAAGCCGGGGGAGCAAAUG
rnacentral:rRNA from 1 species